rnacentral:rRNA from 1 species
GAUCAUGGCUCAGGAUGAACGCUAGCUACAGGCUUAACACAUGCAAGUCGGAGGGGCAGCGAUGAAGAAAGCUUGCUUUCUUCAGGCGGCGACCGGCGCACGGGUGAGUAACGCGUAUCGAACCUGCCUCAUACUCGGGAAUAGCCUUGCGAAAGUAAGAUUAAUGCCCGAUGUUAUUAGAAUAUCACAUGAUGUUUUAAUUAAAGAUUUAUCGGUAUGAGAUGGCGA